rnacentral:rRNA from 1 species
CCUACGGGGGGCAGCAGUAGGGAAUAUUGCUCAAUGGGGGAAACCCUGAAGCAGCAACGCCGCGUGGAGGAUGACGGUUUUCGGAUUGUAAACUCCUUUUGUUAGAGAAGAUAAUGACGGUAUCUAACGAAUAAGCACCGGCUAACUCCGUGCCAGCAGCCGCGGUACUACGGAGGGUGCAAGCGUUACUCGGAAUAACUGGGCGUAAAGGGCGCGUAGGCGGGUUAGCAAGUCAGAUGUGAAAUCCUAUGGCUAAACAAUAGAACUGCAUUUGAAACUGUUAUUCUAGAGUAUGGGAGAGGUAGGGGGAAUUCGUGGGGUAGGGGAAAAAUGCUGAGAAAUCAAGAAGAACUCGCAUUG